rnacentral:rRNA from 1 species
GAUGAACGCUGGCGGCGUGCCUAAUACAUGCAAGUCGAGCGAACAGAUGAGGAGCUUGCUCCUCUGACGUUAGCGGCGGACGGGUGAGUAACACGUGGAUAACCCACCUAUAAGACUGGGAUAACUUCGUGAAACCGGAGCUAAUACCGGAUAAUAUAUUGAACCGCAUGGUUCAUUAGUGAAAGACGGUUUUGCUGUCACUUAUAGAUGGAUCCGCGCCGCAUUAGCUAGUUGGUAAGGUAACGGCUUACCAAGGCAACGAUGCGUAGCCGACCUGAGAGGGUGAUCGGCCACACUGGAACUGAGACACGGUCCAGACUCCUACGGGAGGCAGCAGUAGGGAAUCUUCCGCAAUGGGCGAAAACCUGACGGAGCAACGCCGCGUGAGUGAUGAAGGUCUUCGGAUCGUAAAACUCUGUUAUUAGGGAAGAACAAAUGUGUAAGUAACUAUGCACGUCUUGACGGUACCUAAUCAGAAAGCCACGGCUAACUACGUG